CAUCCAUAAUAGAUAUAGCUUACUUAAAGCGCCUAACUGUUAAUUAGCUGAAACGUCCUGUUGUCU
rnacentral:tRNA from 1 species